rnacentral:rRNA from 1 species
UUACGGGAGGCAGCAGUGGGGAAUCUUGCACAAUGGGCGAAAGCCUGAUGCAGCGACGCCGCGUGAGCGAUGAAGGCCUUCGGGUUGUAAAGCUCUGUGGGGAGGGACGAAUAAGGGUUGGCUAAUAUCCAACCUGAUGACGGUACCUCCUUAGCAAGCACCGGCUAACUCUGUGCCAGCAGCCGCGGUAAGACAGAGGGUGCAAACGUUGUUCGGAAUCACUGGGCGUAAAGCGCGUGUAGGCGGCUACGUAAGUCGGACGUGAAAGCCCACGGCUCAACUGUGGAAGUGCGCUCGAAACUGUGUAGCUUGAGUCUUGGAGAGGAAGGCGGAAUACUUGGUGUAGAGGUGAAAUUCGUAGAUAUCAGGUAGAACACCAGUGGCGAAGGCGGCCUUCUGGACAAUGACUGACGCUGAGACGCGAAAGCGUGGGGAGCAAACAGGAUUAGAUACCCCGGU